ensembl:lncRNA
GCACGUUUUUGCAUAUAUUUCCGGUGCAUGAAUCUUAAACUGUGAUAAAGCCAGGACCAAAAUUCUUUUUUUAUUUUGUUUAUUUAUCAAAUGACAAAAAAUCCUCACAUGGAUUUUAAGAUAUCUGCUUUUAUGACCUGGGAAAUCAAAAUAUACCUGACCAUGGCCUUAAAAACCCUAUUUUCGCCAUGAUUUCCAGGUAAAAUUACCCAUAAAUCUGGCCAGGAGCAAUUUAUAAAUAAAUCCAUAUGUAGAUGUCUUCAUAACAAUGCUAUGUGUGAAACUGGGAAGUGUGGUAUACCUAGGUUCUACAUAGGCUGAGAAAUGUGCACCUAAAAAUGGAAAAACACUCAUUUUGAGAAAACGGACUUGAAAGAUUCUUAUGGCAAAGGCCAACCAAGCUUGAGAGCAUACCACGUGAUACAUUCGAACCAAUCGUCCGGUCGGAAAUCGAGCCAGCCAAUCAGAUAUCAGUUUUAUAUUGUGCAGCAGAUCGAGUGCUUUCCAAUGAUACCACGGAACACAUAUGACAGAGACCGGCUGUAAUUUGAAACGGUGCGUAAUAAAGCAAACGUUUGGUGAAUUUUCUGUAAAAUUCAGAGGCGCAAGUUGACAAACUAUAAUAAAACAAACACCUAAAGUUUUGACAUUUUUCUUUCUUUUGUGCGAAACAUUACAUGUUAAUGGUGCAAAAUAGCCCAAAAUAUCAAAAUUGACCAGUGACUGAAAAAUCGAUGAUUUUGCCUGCCGUGUCUCGCCUUAAAACGAAUGAAAUUGCUUCCAGCAACAAAAAUAGAUCCCCAUUCCCCACUGAGUGGACUGUUGCCAAGCAACAUAUAAACAAAACACCAUACAUAAAUGCGGAGUGAUUUUGUCAGUUUGGUGAACAGUCAGAGUGAUGUUGGACGCUCAUAUCUCAACGGUAUUCAAUGGAUAUUGUCACAAGUUUAAUUACAAUUUGUUUUGUGAGCAAGUAUUUUAUUCUUUUUAUCAUAUUUAUAAAAAAAUAUAUAUUUUUUAUUUUAUUUAUUUUUUUCAAUUGAGGGUGCAAACAGUUUUUUUGGGGGUGCAAUGCAUGCUUAUGCACCCUCGUAGAACCGGGUCUGAAUACAUGACAUGUUGUAUGUUAUAUCUAUGUUAUUAUAUACAUCUCAACUGAAUUUGCAUUCUUCAUGAGGCCCAAAAUGAUAGACGUACAGUAUAUUGCUGUGUUUGUUCUGUGAACCUAUCUGUGCAAACUGCAGCCAAGAUCAGGAAAACGAAAACCAGCGCAAAUGUCUUCAUGUUGUUCACCUUUGCUUCCCGAGGCUGUAGUACUCUAAGACACUGUCUGCAGGUCGAGGUGGUUAAAUACCCCCCAUGUCACUGACAGCCAGAAAAAACAGAUUUAAAUAAAAAAAUAAUUACAUACUAAUAGUGGCAACUGGUCAGUAGGGGCAAGUGGGGCUCGGCCCCACCUACUCUCACAAGAAAAAAAGAAAAAAAGGAAAUAUAUAAAAUGAAUUAUAUACAUAUAUAUAAAAAUCUCCCCAGAAAGUACUGUCAAAUAAUAAAUUCGGCGCUUUUAGUUCAUUUUUAGUCGACCCUAGCUUGCUUCUUCAGACGGAUUUCGUCUGGAAGGGCAAGAGUGGCUCGAGCCUCAUCAGCCCAAUGUAAUGUGUAUUGGACUUGAAAAAUUGAAAUGCGUAUGCUCAGAGUGUUCCUCUGUUGAAAUCGACGCAGGUUAUUACUUCUGGUGGGGCUGGCACCACCGGGACCGCCAUGGACAUAUAUGGUUCGUUCCACAACGUUGUAAUUUCAUAUUUCACCGUUCAUUGGCUGUAGUGUGUGACGUUGUGAUGAGUCAUGACUCGAGUGACCUCCCACCUCACCUCACGUGCCGCGCGCAACUCGAGAAGUCCUGUAGCGAAGAAGAGAAGGAGAUGGAUAACUUUGCUAACAAACGCGUCGGAGGCACACAAACGAAAACGAGUCGACAACAUGAAUGAGGUAGAUCAUCUAUUGGAGCACAAAUUUGAGACCCUGAGCAUGGCGGAAAAAUUAGAGGUAAAACGCCUCAUGUCUUCCCUUUUCAGUCUAUUUAUGUUUUUCCCGUCUUAUAUGUUCCCACUCCUGGCCUGCACCUUGUCGUGGUGAGUGGGCUUUAAACCAAGACAGGCCAUUCUGAAUCUUUUGUUUCACAGCUAUUAUCUUUGAUUUCUCCUCCAGGACACUGCCUAGGCCUACGGGAGGUGUACUCCAUGGUAAAAUGAUAUUGGGUUCUUAUAGUAGCUCUUACAGCUGUUUGCAGUAGUAUCAUUUUAUUCUGAGGUUUACGGGAGCUUAGUUUAGAGUUGAACAACUUUUAAAACUAUACUUUCAUCAUUGCAAUGUUUUGAUGUCAACAAUAAAAGAUUAAAAACUACAUUAAUGUACUUUAUUAAUUAAAUAUACAUAUGUGAUACAAGGCGAACAGUCACUUAGUUCAAAAACAAAAAGGCCAGCAUACUGAAUAGUGUAAAAGUAUAUAUUUAUUUGUAAUGGUUGUGAUGGCCCCAGUACCUACCUGCUGUCCUGGCAGGUCCUUGUUGGUGGAGCUGAGGGCUGAAUAGAGAAUGGGAAACGCAAGCCAGGGCUACAAACAGCAUGGUGGGACACUGACACGUAAGUAAGACCAAUGAUGGAAGCUCAAUCUCUAUUUUGAAAUACUUUUGCUUUUUUAUGAAAAUUACCAAUUCUAUUUGUAAUAUAUGAGGUCUGUAACUUUUUCCCAAAAUGAAUUUCAAGAGAGAGAGAGAGAGAGAGAGAGAGAGAGAGAGAGAGAGAGAGGGAGAGAGGGAGAGAGGGAGAGGGAGAGAGGGAGAGAGGGAGAGAGAGGGAGAGAGCGCUUUAUGCACUAAUAUUACAAGGUUGUUGGUUGUCUUUAACUGUCGCCCUCUGGUAUCCUGGGGGGUUUUUGCGUUGCUUUGAGCGACCGAGUUCUACCUUUCAUCCCAUUGAUUGGCGUGCGUGCGUGUUUGUGUGUGGUGUAUGAAGCGAGAGACCCUGAUUGGUCCCGUGGUCCUUUAGGCAAAGUGGGCGGGACUUUGUUCCGUUCUAGCCUAUUAACCGAGAUCCUGUCCUGCAUCUGGAGCAGGCUUGGUGUGAGUGAUCCACAUACCUUGUGGUAACCAUGGUGAUGUAGAUGUACGCCCCCCCUUCCCCGUAGCCCACUCAGAAAUCGGUAGUAGAAUCCGUAGGCUAGUAUUAGUUAAGGGAGUUUUAUAUGUGAAAUAUCGUGCAUAAAGCUGUGUCUCACCCACUCUACUUGUCUGUCUGUCUGUGUCUCCCGGUCUCUCUGUCUCUCUGUCCCUGUCUCUCUCUAUUUCUGCCUCCCUUUCUCUGUAUCUCUCUGACCCUCCCUCCCUCCCUCUCUCUGUCCCUCCCUCCCUUUUGUGAGACAGUUCAGUGAAUAAAAACAACAAAACAAAAUGUAUUUCCCUUAAACUAAAUGAAACCGGUUUGUUCUGGAAAGAAUAAAUAGACGAAGGGAGUUGACCUAAGGGUAGAAAAUAGAUUUAAAUAAACCAUCUGCGCUUCGCAUAACCGCUUCAAAUCGCUUUGAGAAGAAAAUCAGGCGGACAGAUAUACUAACCUGGUCUCUGUUGAUAACCUGGAUAAAUUAAAUUAAUUGAGCCAAUUGAAUACCAUUGACUGUCAAACCGACGAUAUAGUCAUGUUUGCAUUUAUUUUUUAAUUAAAUUCAUACACAAUUUCCAAUGUGAUGCAUGAGUCAAAUAGACAGUUUAAGAGAUCACACACCUAGAAUAUGAAGGUCAAGGCCUAUGCGUUUAAUGUUUAGAUGAUAUCACUCUAUAGUGAAUCACUUGAUAUAGGCCGGCAGGGAAACAGCCCAACAUAGAAGCACGCGCUCGUCUUUGAUUCCUCAUCGUUGUCUUUGUUGUCGAAACUCUCCACAUGCCCAAACUUAUAAUGGACAUUAUCAAACUUCUUCACGAAAAAGUUUAGUUUUCUUUGCAUGAAAGAUUAUUAUUUAAAUCCACAAAGAACAUUUAUGUUUAACCCGGGGCAUAUAAACACUGGGGCACAAAAUUAAUUACUUUCUCUCGAUUGAAACCCAUUCAUAUUUUUCGAUCUCAUAGGUCCAAUGGGCUCUACCGGAAGGGGCAUGACUUCGCCAUAGGAGGAAAGAGUUUUUUUGGGGGGCUACAGGAAACAGAAGUGUCCGAUCAUGCACAGCCCUGUUUUUUUGGAAUUAUUAACCAGAGAACAAAUGUUGACACAAAACGACCACACAACCCAAACAUGCAUCAGCAUUCUGUAUCAAAUGUAAAACUGAUUGGCCUAAUCGUUAUGUCCCCCAAAUAUAAGAUUUAACAUUUUCUUAAUGCUAAAUAGUUUGUUUGUACAUUGGGUAAUACAUGAAAUGUAAUAUAUUAUAUGUAUACAUACUAUUAUAUAAAUCUCAACUGAAUUUUCAUUCUACCUGAGGCCCAAAAUGAUAGACGUAGGCCUACAGUAUUGCUGUAAUUGUUCUACGAACCUACCUGUGUAAAAUGCAGCUAAGAUCAGGAAAACGAAAACAAGCACGAAUGUCUUCAUGUUGUUCACCUUUGCUUCCCGAGGCUUUAGUACUGUAAGACACUGUGUGCAGGUCGACGAGGCUCUACUACUGUAAGACACUGUCUGCAGGUCGAGGUGGUUAAAUACCCCCCACGUCACUGACACCCAGAAAAAACAGAUUUAAAUAAAAAAUAAUUACAUGCUAAUAGUGGCAACUGGUCAGUAGGGGCAAGUGGGGCUCCCCCACGCCCCCACCUACUCUCACAAGAAAAAGAAGAAAAUGAAAAAAGAAAAAAAAUAUAUAAAAUGAAUUAUAUAUAUGUAUAUAUAAAAAAUCUCCCCAGAAAGUACUGUCAAAUAAUAAAUUCGGCGCUUUUAGUUCAUUUUUAGUCGACCCUAGCUUGCUUCUUCAGACGGAUUUCGUCUGGAGGGGCAAGAGUGGCUCGAGCGAGCCCCAUCAGCCCAAUGUAAUGUGUAUUGGACUUGAAAAAUUGAAAUGCGCAUGCUCAGAGUGUUCCUCUGUUGAAAUCGACGCAGGUUAUUAC